CCACUACUCAGUUGGUAGAGUACAGAGCUCUUAACCUUGUGGACGUGGGUUCGAGCCCCAUGGUGGU
rnacentral:tRNA from 1 species